GAUGAACGCUGGCGGCGUGCCUAAUACAUGCAAGUCGAGCGAACAGACGAGGAGCUUGCUCCUCUGACGCUAGCGGCGGACGGGUGAGUAACACGUGGAUAACCGACCUAUAAGACUGGGAUAACUUCGGGAAACCGGAGCUAAUACCGGAUAAUAUAUUGAACGGCAUGGUUCAAUAGUGAAAGACGGUUUUGCUGUCACUUAUAGAUGGAUCCGCGCCGCAUUAGCUAGUUGGUAAGGUAACGGCUUACCAAGGCAACGAUGCGUAGCCGACCUGAGAGGGUGAUCAGCCACACUGGAACUGAGACACGGUCCAGACUCCUACGGGAGGCAGCAGUAGGGAAUCUUCCGCAAUGGGCGAAAGCCUGACGGAGCAACGCCGCGUGAGUGAUGAAGGUCUUCGGAUCGUAAAACUCUGUUAUUAGGGAGGAACAAAUGUGUAAGUAACUAUGCACGUCUUGACGGUACCAAAACAGAAAGCCACGGCUAACUACGUG
rnacentral:rRNA from 1 species